GCUGGGCAUGGUGGCUCAUGCCUGUAAUCCCAGCUCUUUGGGAGGCCGAGGCGGGUGGAUCACUUGAGGUCAGGAGUUUGAGACCAGCCUGGCCAACAUGGUGAAACCCCGUCUCUA
rnacentral:sRNA from 1 species